UUAGAGGGGAGGAAUUUAGCUAGAGCUGAGUUGACCUUGGCUGGAAGUGAAGUUAGCUGAUUGCACUACUUUUAAUGUAACACAGCCGAAUUAUGGAAGGGCAAGAAGCUUGUGCCACUAUAGCCUGAUAAUACUGAGCAGAAGUGUUUACUACAUCUCCUUCUUUCUCUUUUGGAAACAGCAGCAGCAACAGGGUACAAGGAAGACUUUCAUAAUCUACUGAAUCUACAUCUUUUAGGCACCUGAAUUACAAAGCCUUAACAAGAAGAUUGGAAGAGAAUCAAGGCCGGAGAAGUUCUUGAAGCAAUGGGAGAGUGACUUGACAAGAACCAGAUCCCAGAAAUCUGCCUGUGUUGAAUCAGUUCUGACUGUGAUGAGUGCAAUUAGAGGACCCAUGGAUUGUGGAUUGUUUGAAGGACAGAAGUUAACAAAACAGAUGUUGUUCAUAUGUUGAAUAUUUAAGCAGUUCUCUCUUCACUCUCUUUUAAGGCUCCAGGUAAUGCAGAAAUAUAAAAAGAUUCACAGUCUCUACUAGAUUAAUACAUACUGGUAUCAACAGGGCAUGCAUUAUGAAAAAUAAGAGGUUAAACUAGCAUUGAUUGUCUAUGUCAGUUUGAUUUCCCCUCCCAAUGACAAUUGUAGUCUAUUUAAAAAAUCUCUUUAGCAUUCCAGGAGGGGGGGAGUGGAAGAAGGAGAGGAAGACAGAGUCAGAAGAACUGAGAAGAAUAGACAGAAAAAGACAGAGAAAGAGAGAGAGAUGCAGAGAAAAAUAGAGAGGAAGAGAGCUAGGGAGAACAAUAGAGAGAAGGAGAGGGAAAAUGUUUGCUUCUUGUGAGAGACUAAUUUAAGUGGUGAACAUUCUUGUUUUCUCACCCCUGAACAUAGCUGUGUGACAGUGGAAAGCAAUCUGUAUGUGGUGGUGCUGAUAUUAUUCCUACCUCAAAAUAAGCCCAAAUAGAUUUGAAGGCAUAAAAUUUCAAAAUCUCAAGAAACUCUGAAAAUGCACCAGAAUUGGUUUUGAAGAACUUCUGAUUAAGGAAAAAAGAUUGUAAAACAGAUUUCUCUUUAGCUUAGAAGAUACUGUUUUAACUCAACACAUUUCAGGCUAAUCGAGUUUAGCAUUUUCACUAAUUAAAGUCAU